GAUGAACGCUGGCGGCGUGCUUAACACAUGCAAGUCGUACGGUAAGGCCCUUUCGGGGGUACACGAGUGGCGAACGGGUGAGUAACACGUGAGUAACCUGCCCACAACUUUGGGAUAACGCUAGGAAACUGGUGCUAAUACUGGAUAUGUGCUCCUGCUGCAUGGUGGGGGUUGGAAAGCUCCGGCGGUUGUGGAUGGACUCGCGGCCUAUCAGCUUGUUGGUGGGGUAGUGGCCUACCAAGGCGGCGACGGGUAGCCGGCCUGAGAGGGUGACCGGCCACAUUGGGACUGAGAUACGGCCCAGACUCCUACGGGAGGCAGCAGUGGGGAAUAUUGCACAAUGGGCGCAAGCCUGAUGCAGCAACGCCGCGGGCGGGAUGACGGCCUUCGGGUUGUAAACCGCUUUCAGCAGGGACGAAGCUUUUUGUGACGGUACCUGCAGAAGAAGCACCGGCUAACUACGUG
rnacentral:rRNA from 1 species